UAUACCAGAGGUGAGAUGUUACGUAUGUCUAAUAAGGCACAUUCAUCUUAGUUUCUGGACAUCUGUGGCAUCAACUCGUCGAAUCCAUUAUUAUUGAUAUCCUAAAUCUCUUUGAACAGUAAAACUAAUGAUUCAAAAUCAUAUACAACUUGUUUAUGAUGAAUUUUUCAAUAUUGAUCAUUAACCAUGGUGAAAUAACCACAGCGUGAUAUAAUUGUGUUGCUGCUACCAAGUUGCAUCACAGUAUACAGUUGAUCAAACUCGCUAAUAAAAACAAUAGUGUAAUUGAUAAUUGUUCUUCUGGUCUCGUGGGGAUCUGGGUUAGAAUAGGUCCUCAGUACCCCUUGCUUGACUUAAAAAGUGAUUAAAUAGGGCGGAUGAGACGGCCAAAACAGAAUCUUGUAUCACAGCAGGUGCAGCGCUAUAAAUGUCCCUCCCUCCUCAAAGGCCGUAAGCGCCGAGGAUAGUCCUAAAUUUUUGCAGCCCUUCACCGGCAUCGGUGACGUCUCCAUACAAGUGAAAGAUUAUCAAGCGGGACAAACUAUAUACAACCAAGCAACUGCCAAUUGUUUUUUUUAUAUUUAACAGCUAAUUAUUUAGUAUAUAUAUCAAUCAAGACUUUAAAAACUAAUCAUUUGUAACUUAAUGUAAAACGGAUGCUGCUCAGGAAUACGUGUUCCAGUGGUUGAAUGAGACUCGAUCCUGAAAACUGCAGAAUGCAUAUCAUGACAAUAUUCAUCAUGUCACAUUAAACUAUGUGAAAAAAUAUCACAUAUUUGAUGACCUUUUUCGAAAUCAUUUUUUGGGGAGAAUUCGAAGUUCACCGGAUGAAUCGAUAAAAAUUCUGGUCCUCAUAACCUUUCAACAUACAUGUAAGAUUCUCGGCGUUGAGCCGACGACCAAACAAAUCAUAUACUGAAUGACUUGAAAAUUGAUAUUAGAUUCCUUUGUACGAUCAGAUUUUUUAAUGAUUACUUUCUUCAGGUAAGCUAUCAUUCAUUAUUAUUUUCUGAACCUUCUUAAACUACAACUUAGGUAAUUUCAGCUGUCAAUCAAAUUCAUACUCUUAAAACUAAUGAUUGUCGUCAUCAGCCCCGUAACAGUUGUUGACAGAAGACAGAACUUCCUUCUCCUGGGAUCAACAUGAGAGUGCUCAGUUUGAUUAUGUUGAGCGUAUUGUUCAUCUGUCUGUUUUUGACGACCGUUCACUCGAAUUAUCUGUAUGGACGAGGACAAACACAAGUACCAGUUUCAACAAAUCGAGGAUUUGGCUUCGGCGAUUCACUCUGUGCCUAUUGCCGAAUGGUCACUCCUUGUUGCUGCCAAUACUAUUGUACUGGGCGUAGACCAUCUCAUGGCCUUUUCCAACCUCAACCUAUUUUUACCUCGGGAUUAUACCCACAUUCACGUUCGGCUUAUCCAAAGUUUUACAAACAUCGUUCAGUCUAUUAACCUUUGUAUCAAUAGUUAUUGUAUUGUAUCUUGGUAUGCAAAUUACAGGAAUUAAGAGACUA